GCGGGUGGUUGUUUGGAGUACGUCCGGAACGGGCGCUAAUACCGCAUACGUCCUGAGGGAGAAAGUGGGGGAUCUUGCACUAAAGCUAUCAGAUGAGCCUAGGUCGGAUUAGCUAGUUGGUCGGGUGUAAAGGCCUACCAAGGCGACGAUCCGUAACUGGUCUGAGAGGAUGAUCAGUCACACUGGAACUGAGACACGGUCCAGACUCCUACGGGAGGCAGCAGUGGGGAAUAUUGGACAAUGGGCGAAAGCCUGAUCCAGCCAUGCCGCGUGUGUGAAGAAGGUCUUCGGAUUGUAAAGCACUUUAAGUUGGGAGGAAGGGCAGUAAGUUAAUACCUUGCUGUUUUGACGUUACCAACAGAAUAAGCACCGGCUAACUUCGUGCCAGCAGCCGCGGUAAUACGAAGGGUGCAAGCGUUAAUCGGAAUUACUGGGCGUAAAGCGCUCGUAGGUGGUUCAGCAAGUUGGAUGUGAAAUCCCCGGGCUCAACCUGGGAACUGCAUCCAAAACUACUGAGCUAGAGUACGGUAGAGGGUGGUGGAAUUUCCUGUGUAGCGGUGAAAUGCGUAGAUAUAGGAAGGAACACCAGUGA
rnacentral:rRNA from 1 species